UACAGAGGGUGCAAGCGUUAAUCGGAAUUACUGGGCGUAAAGCGCGCGUAGGUGGUUUGUUAAGUUGGAUGUGAAAUCCCCGGGCUCAACCUGGGAACUGCAUCCAAAACUGGCAAGCUAGAGUAUGGUAGAGGGUGGUGGAAUUUCCUGUGUAGCGGUGAAAUGCGUAGAUAUAGGAAGGAACACCAGUGGCGAAGGCGACCACCUGGACUGAUACUGACGCUGAGACGCGAAAGCGCGGGGAGCGAACGGG
rnacentral:rRNA from 1 species